CCUACGGGAGGCAGCAGUGAGGAAUAUUGGUCAAUGGACGCAAGUCUGAACCAGCCAUGCCGCGUGCAGGAUGACGGCUCUAUGAGUUGUAAACUGCUUUUGUACGAGGGUAAACCCCGAUACGUGUAUCUGGUUGAAAGUAUCGUACGAAUAAGGAUCGGCUAACUCCGUGCCAGCAGCCGCGGUAAUACGGAGGAUACGAGCGUUAUCCGGAUUUAUUGGGUUUAAAGGGUGCGUAGGCGGUUUGAUAAGUUAGAGGUGAAAUGUCAGGGCUCAACCCCGAAACUGCCUCUAAUACUGUUGGACUAGAGAAUACGUGCGGUAGGCGGAAUGUAUGGUGUAGCGGUGAAAUGCUUAGAGAUCAUACAGAACACCGAUUGCGAAGGCAGCUUACCAAACUAUAUCUGACGUUGAGGCACGAAAGCGUGGGUAGCAAACAGGAUUAGAUACCCCUGUAGUC
rnacentral:rRNA from 1 species